ACUUGCAGUGUACAAGUUGGUGUCGUGUCCCGGAGAGAAGUCAGGACAUUGAGAAGAUUUUAUUGCCUGCUCUCAUUAUUCUGACAGUGAUCCUGGUGGCUGUCUUGUUUGGUAGAAUGACAAUAAAAGAUGGGGACAAGAAGAAAACACCAUGGACGAAACUCAGAUGUCUGAGGAUGAACCAGUGACACGUGCCUUCACAGCAAGAGGAUAGAUUGUAGGAUAGUUCUCAAUAAAGCAUGUGUGUUUUUUGUGUGUGUGUUUUUUUUACUGUAAGGAUAAGCGUUUGCAUAAUUUUUUGUCUUGUCUGAUGCACACAUGAAAGUUGUAACAUCUGAGUAAUGUAUUUAAAUACAUCUAAUACAAGCUUAUUUUAAAAUAAUGCAACAACUGCUUUAAGAGUUUAUAACGCGCAAUGUA